rnacentral:lncRNA from 1 species
AUGUGCAAAGGAAGAACCUUCCAGAAUCACCCUCAUGUACCCCUAUGCUCUGUACAUACCCAGCGCUCUGCACUGAGGCAGACCCUAAAGCUGCAGUGGGAAUGGAGGUGGAUACACUUAUGGAAAGAAAGACUUCUUCAAAGAAUGGUGGCGACCCAGGUCUCCCCUUCUGCUGUGGCUCUUAGAGGACCUGGAGUUGGAGAGGGGAAGUCACUGGCAUGUGGAGGAAGACUAGGAGAGGAGGGGGAGGCCAAAGUGUGUCCCACCUUCACUCCACCUCUCUGCUCUCUCUCUCCUAUAUUGAGCGCCUCCCUCCCCAGAGUUGUGGUCACUGAUAAGGAGGACCCUGAGGGCAACCACACCUUGCCAUGCAGAGCACCUGGCUUCUCACCUGCCAACCUCACUCUGACCUGGCUGCAGGAAGGGAAGGAGCCAACUCUGGACUCAAGAUUCAAGGGGACCAGACCCAGAGAGAUGAGACAUACCAGGACUGGGCAGCUGUGGGGGUCCUUCCAGAGAGGAGCUGAGAUACACCUACCUGGAGGGGCCCCAGGGCCUGGAGGGGCUCCUCAGUGUGACUGGCCCCAGGCUCUGGCCUCUCUCUCUCCUCUUCUACCCUCUAGCCGGUAAUGACUGAUUUCCCACUGAGGAGCCAGCUCUAGGGAGCUGUCCUUCCUCCAGGCCCAGGGAAGUGAAAAAAGAAGCAGGAACAGUGAAAUACGCCACAGGAAAGAAAAAUCUUAGUGAUCCCUCCUGCUGUCUCUCUCCUUUUGUCUAUUCUGGCAAAUUUUGUAAGUGAAAUUUGUUACCAAGAUGUGAAAAUCUUAUUAUAAGAAAGUCUCUAAAUAUUUGAGAAUAAAAUGAUCAAUGUCUCAGCUCUGCAGGCUGAAAAAACAGAAUCUUUACAAAAUAAAAUCAUGUUUGGAAAACUUCUCCUCUGAGGGAUAUCAAAGCCUGCACUGAAUAAGCUCUAAGGAGGUGCUGAAAUGACUGCCAUUUAUUUGCCUGUGUAAGCUCAGGCAGGUGUUGGAAUUGAGGAAGGAUAGGUAAUGAAAAAAGUAACCAUGUGCUUGGGGCACAGUGACGGUGAUGACCACAGAAUCAACACAAUAAGCUCUAGCAUUUGCAUCGUAGUCCAGUUCAUUCAAGCAAAGCUAUCUCCAAUAGGGAAUUUACCCUGUACAGAACAUGUGCAUUUUGAUUUCACCUUUUCUAACUGACCCUUUGCUCAUGACAAUAGUGAAAAAAUACAGCCCUGGGUGGAGAUUUAAGAUACUAACGAGUCAUGAGAUGUAUGAACAUGCAUGUACAGCUACUGCACAUGUGCACCAAGAAGACCACCCAGAACAUGCUCACUAGUAACCCCUCUUCCCACCCACCUCCUACGAAUAAUCAUGUAAGACUCCCAUAAAGGGAGUUUCUCCAGCAGUAAUCAAUGCUGCCUCAUCCAUAGGAGCAGCCCGCCCUGAAUCCUCUCUCUCAGGGUAUACAGUUUAUUUUGCACUUAACUUUCAAAAUAGUAUUUUUCCUUUGUAAUAAAUUGCUUUGUACUUCUCCUUUGCUGCAUGUUUCUUAUUUAAAUUCUUUUAAAUGAAGAAGUCAAAAACCACAGUAUUACAACAGCCGUCAACAUUUCUGGUGCCAUGACUCAGACAGAGGUUUGUAUGCUUCAUUGGUUUCAGUUCCCCUUCACUCCUGGUGAGUGCUGUGGCAGCCCCAGACCCCUGAUUGACUAUCACUGCUUUCCCCAGAUCUAUUCUAUGAAGGUUUUGGGGGAGGACCUUUUAAAUCACUCACAUUAUUUGAGCAAAGAAGGAGCGAAACUUCGUCUCAAAAAUAAAAAUAAAAGAUAAUAAACAAUGCGGCAAAGAAUUAAACUCUUGAUACGAUCCUCACCAUUUUAAGGG